UGAGGGUUACUUCCCAUUGGGGUUGUGGCGACCUACCAAACCGGAUGGAAUGUGUCUGUUGUAGUCCUGGAGAAAUAGAGAUGCCCUUCAUUCUCAAAUGAUUUGGUCAUGUGCUUAAUUGACUGUGACUGCUGGUCGUGAUGAUGAAGAUGGUCGUCGUCUAGUCUGAUGUUUGUGCGUCUUUGGACUCAACUUGUUGGUGACAAAUGUUGAACAGUGUGGUGCGUGUCCGAAACCCUCAUAGCGAAUCGACGAGGCUUGAUCAUGAAACCGGACAAUAGCACCGUGAGUUGAGCUAAUAAAAGUGAGUGUUUGGUCAUGUUAAGAAACUGAGAAUCUGUUUAGUUUAUGCAGGCAGUGGUAUGCUAGUUCAGAUUGUACCUCAAAAAUUUGCGACGCUAUCAAGUUGCUUUUGUUUGUAUAUCUUCAGUAAAAUUGCGUUGGAGUCUCAAAAUACAUUCUAACUACUACAGAUAGGCUGAAUUAGAGGUAUUAGUAAAAAAAGAACAUCAAGCAGACUGGGCAUAUUUUUUGAAAAAAUUGAAUUUCGUACUUUCUUAAAUUUCAAAAUUCUGAUUUUUCCACAUGUAAGUAUACGUGUGCUCUGUGUGUGUGAAAUUUCAUGAAGAAAUACGUUACCAUGUGAGCAGCGCAAAAAGGACAAAUUCAUGAAACUCUUAUAGCAAACAAUGUGUGUUCUGUUUGCUAUUUUUAAAUCCGCGUAUUUGCUCUUUAAACAUGAACACUAUAAAACAAUUGUCCUCAGCCGUGCGUACCUCUUCGCUCCUACGCACGCAACGACAACCAUCGCUAGGUUUCUGAUCCCUUCUGCCACGCAGCUGCCGGCCUGCCUCAUCUCAUGUGGCCUUUGUUUGCAACUAUUUUAGACAUUUUUUUUCAAAUUUGUGGAUAUUUGGGAAAUUCAAAACACUGUUUGAAAUCUGAGAAUAUUUUUCAAAUUCAUGAACAUCUCUUGAAAUCCGGGAACAUUUAUCCAAAUUCUUGAACUUUGGUGAUUCUUUUUUCAAAUUCAUGAUUUUGAUUUUUUAAAGGAGAAAAUAUGUUUUUGGUUCCUAAAAUUCCCCAAAAUUAUAACCUUGGUCCCUCAGGAUUUUUUAGUAGACACUUGGUCCUUUAAGUCUCAAAAUCGGAUAAGUUUUGUCCAAAACAAGAUUUUGUCCAUGUUGACCGAAUUUGGCCGAUGAACAGUAAAUUCCAAAAUUAGCAAUAAAAUUUAGAAAAAUAAAAAAUUAGUGGCAACCAAGAUGCUUGGGUGUUCUAGGUGCGUGAAAAUUUGUGCGGUGAUUCGACAUUCGCGGAGCUCGUGACAAAAAAAAAAC
rnacentral:lncRNA from 1 species